CGAAUUCAGACAAACUCCGAAUGCCAAUUAAUUUAACUUGGGAGUCAGAACAUGGGUGAUAAGGUCCGUGUUCGAAAGGGAAACAGCCCAGACCACCAGCUAAGGUCCCAAAAUAUAUGUUAAGUGGAAAAGGAUGUGGCGUUGCCCAGACAACUAGGAUGUUGGCUUAGAAGCAGCCAUCAUUUAAAGAGUGCGUAAUAGCUCACUAGUCGAGUGACACUGCGCCGAAAAUGUACCGGGGCUAAACAUAUUACCGAAGCUGUGGAUUGUCCUUUGGACAAUGGUAGGAGAGCGUUCUAAGGGCGUUGAAGCAUGAUCGUAAGGACAUGUGGAGCGCUUAGAAGUGAGAAUGCCGGUGUGAGUAGCGAAAGACGGGUGAGAAUCCCGUCCACCGAUUGACUAAGGUUUCCAGAGGAAGGCUCGUCCGCUCUGGGUUAGUCGGGUCCUAAGCUGAGGCCGACAGGCGUAGGCGAUGGAUAACAGGUUGAUAUUCCUGUACCACCUAUAAUCGUUUUAAUCGAUGGGGGGACGCAGUAGGAUAGGCGAAGCGUGCGAUUGGAUUGCACGUCUAAGCAGUAAGGCUGAGUAUUAGGCAAAUCCGGUACUCGUUAAGGCUGAGC
rnacentral:rRNA from 1 species